AACGAACGCUGGCGGCAGGCCUAACACAUGCAAGUCGAGCGCCCUUUCGGGGGAGCGGCGGACGGGUGAGUAACGCGUGGGAAUAUGCCCUUCUCUACGGAAUAGCCUCGGGAAACUGAGAGUAAUACCGUAUACGCCCUACGGGGGAAAGAUUUAUCGGGGAAGGAUUAGCCCGCGUUGGAUUAGGUAGUUGGUGGGGUAAUGGCCUACCAAGCCGACGAUCCAUAGCUGGUUUGAGAGGAUGAUCAGCCACACUGGGACUGAGACACGGCCCAGACUCCUACGGGAGGCAGCAGUGGGGAAUCUUAGACAAUGGGGGCAACCCUGAUCUAGCCAUGCCGCGUGAGUGAUGAAGGCCUUAGGGUUGUAAAGCUCUUUCAGCUGGGAAGAU
rnacentral:rRNA from 1 species